CUGAUAUUAAAGAAACAGUUAAUAGUAAUUUGCCAUCAUGUUGUGCUUGUGUGGUUUGUAAAGUCCCUGUGGAGAGCCCGUCGCCCCCCCAGCUCGCUGACCUCUAUAACAGCGCUGCAGGCCGUAAAAUCGCCUCAACCAUUAAACAGCGGCACAACUCGGACCCCCCCCUGAAAAACACCCUGCCGCUAAAAUUAGCCUGCACAUCGACCGGCAUCGAUCCGGCAGCCCUACUUCUGCAGCGCCGCUCUGCUACCGGUUCAUGGUGUGACCCGAGGAGACGACCAGGAAACAACAAUACUACUUUUCUUUAGCGUAGGAAAGGCGCUUCAGUGUUUCCUUUACUAGCGCCUUUAGCGUAGAAAAGGCGCUUCAGCGUUUCCUUUACUAGCUCCUUUAGCGUAGGAAAGGCGCUUCAGCGUUUCCUUUACUAGCUCCUUUAGCGUAGGAAAGGCGCUUCAGCGUUUCCUUUACUAGCUCCUUUAGCGUAGGAAAGGUGCUUCAGUGCUUCCUUUACUAGCCCCUUUAGCAUAGAAAAGGCGCUUGUGUUUCCUUUACUAGCUCCUUUAGCGUAGGAAAGGUGCUUCAGUGCUUCCUUUACUAGCGCCUUUAGCAUAGAAAAGGCGCUUGUGUUUCCUUUACUAGCUCCUUUAGCGUAGGAAAGGUGCUUCAGUGUUUCCUUUACUAGCUCCUUCAGCGUAGGAAAGGUGCUUCAGUGUUUCCUUUACUAGCUCCUUUAGCGUAGGAAAGGUGCUUCAGUGCUUACUUUACUACCCCCUUUAGCAUAGAAAAGGCGCUUGUGUUUCCUUUACUAGCUCCUUUAGCAUAGGAAAGGUGCUUCAGUGUUUCCU
ensembl:lncRNA